rnacentral:rRNA from 1 species
UGGGGAAUAUUGCACAAUGGGCGCAAGCCUGAUGCAGCCAUGCCGCGUGUAUGAAGAAGGCCUUCGGGUUGUAAAGUACUUUCAGUCGGGAGGAAGGUGGUAAGGUUAAUAACCUUGGCAAUUGACGUUACCGACAGAAGAAGCACCGGCUAACUCCGUGCCAGCAGCCGCGGUAAUACGGAGGGUGCAAGCGUUAAUCGGAAUUACUGGGCGUAAAGCGCACGCAGGCGGUUGAUUGAGUCAGAUGUGAAAUCCCCGGGCUUAACCCGGGAAUUGCAUCUGAUACUGGUCAGCUAGAGUCUUGUAGAGGGGGGUAGAGUUCCAUGUGUAGCGGUGAAAUGCGUAGAGAUGUGGAGGAAUACCGGUGGCGAAGGCGGCCCCCUGGACAAAGACUGACGCUCAGGUGCGAAAGCGUGGGGAGCAAACAGG